GUAGGAGCAGGAGCUGGGAGGAGCAGGAGGAGGAGCAGGAGCAGUUGGAGGAGGAGCUGGAGAAGAAGGAGCAACUGGAGGAAGAUGAGGAGGAGCAGCUGGAGGAGGAGGAGCUGGGGAGGAGCAUCUAGAGGAGGAGUGGGAGGAGGAGUAGCUGGAGGAGAAGGAAGGAGCUGGAGGAAGAGGAAGAGCAGGAGGAAGAGAAGCUGGAGAAGAAGGAGCAACUGGAGGAAGAUGAGGAGGAGCAGUUGGAGGAGCAGGAUCUGGGGGAGGAGCAGCUGGAGGAGCUGCUGGAGGAGCAGGAAGAAUGGGAGUGGGCACAGCUGGAGGAAGAGCUGGAGGAGAAGGAAUCCAAUGCAUCCAGAGCCAUGAGGUUAAAAGAUGGCUUGGUUAAGGUGUAUCUUAGAGGUAGAGCACUUUGUCUACUGUCUGGGGCGAGGCCUGGAGCUUUCCCCAGCACCAGAAAAAAGUUAAAAGAGAUGUUGGGGGCUAGCUGUUGGAAGCAGGUCUGAGAAGACGCCUUGGAAGACUAUGUCUACACCUGGUUCCAGCUUCUCUCUAAUUCCUGGUCUGCUGGGAUGUGGGAGCUGCAGACUCCCACCACCAUGCACUAUGCGGUGCUGUCCCUCAGUCCCCAGCAAUGGACUGAGACCUUGGAAACCAUGAGCCAAGAUGAAGCUUUCCCUCCUUCCGUUGUCUUGGUCACGGAGAUGCAACAGCAUCUGACUCACUCGAGUGGUAGAUAGGACAUCACUUGCCAUUCCAAAGCAUUCAAGAUGAAGGAUGGAGUCUUUAUCAGCACAGAUAAUCUUUUCAGGGACUCAAGGUCUACUGAGAGAGAGAGAGCUCAGCUAUUAGGAGUAUCAUAGGACAGCUGUCUGGGCACUGACAUGAGUUCUGGGUGCUUAACUGUGAGGAAAUUAUAGAGGACCAGAUUGCUGGUGGGACUUAGUUCAUAGAGAGGCAGAAUGGGAUGAGUGGAAUCCCUCUCACCUCCACAUGUGAUGCUUUUUCUCUCAAGGGCUUGUGAUUUCAGAGUCCAGUCCUAGACACAGGUGUUUAGGAAUCUAUAAUAAUGGAUGAGAAUUGAAAACUUUAUUGGCCUCCAAAGAAAACGAUUAAAUUGAAUUAAUAAAAUUUUAAUUUGUGGAAAUGGCAUCAUAAUGAUAUAGUUAAUUGCUAAGCUUAGUACAGUUGUCCUUUAGUGUCCAUGGGGGACCUGCUCCAGGACCACUCCCACAUCUGAAUCAGUAGACACUCCCAUGCUGUACAAAAUGGAGAAAUAUUUGCAUAUAACCUGCACAAUCCCCAAAUAAUUUAAAUCAUCUCUAGAUGACUUUAAGCACUCACUGCAGUGUGAAAGUGAUAUUGAAAUAAUUAUUUUACUGCAUUGCUUAGGGGAUAAUGUAAAAAAUUAAAAUAAAACCCAUAUGAGUUCACUACAGAUACACUUUCUCCCAAGUAUUUUUCUAUCCAACAUGGGGGCAGAACCUCCAGAUAUGGGCAACUGUUAAUCAAAUGACACAUUUGAAACCAACGGAAUCUAUAGUUUUCUUCCUUUCCUACAAGAAUUCCUAAGCAGGCGCAAGAACUGCCAGCGAGCUGCUGCCAAUCACCAUUUAAACUACUCAUAGCCAAAACAUUUCAAAAGCAAAAAUUACCAUUUUAAAAUGUACUUCUGAGACAAAAAAAAAAGUUCUUGCUAGAUUGGACAGGAGAUGUGGGGUUAGGGUCCAGAACUGAGAAGUUGUCAGCAAGGUUAUGACAAGCAUUUGCCCAAUAUGCGCAGCCAGGCAGGCAAAGGUGGAACAGCAGGUCACUGCAGAGCCCCAGGUUAGGAAAGCCUUGUUGCUCCAGCUUCCUGUGGGCACCCCUGCCCACCCCCCCUGCACACCGUGGCCUCGUUCAUUUACUUCAGUAACUCUUUUUCUGGAACAAAUUCUCCCCUAGCAAUCCCUUUCCAGAGUACUACAGUAACAAGAGAUCUGGAAGACUUUGAUUGAUGGGGUUUGAAACACGCUUUCUUUUUGGCAAUAUUUAUAUUUGAUCCCUUUUGGACUGGCUGCACAUAACUAGAGCUUAUCACAUUGCUGGAAAUUAUGGGAAGACUCGGAGGCACAGGAACCCUGAGCCUGCCGAGCCCCGAGAGAACAAAGAUUAAUACCGGUUUCUGCUUCUCUGCCCUGACCUCUGGUAUCUGUAAAUAACGGUUGGAAAGAUGGGGCACAUCAUGAUCUAUGACAUGGUGUCGGCCAUUCCAGUUGUUCUGUCUUCAGGUGUGAUUUAUCAUUCUCCACAGUGACACAAAUCACAGACCCAGCUUGACAUGCUGGAAUGUUGGACCCACUGACUGCUAUAGCAAUGAACCUGUUUGCAUCCCAACACUUUCAGCCUGAGUUAGACCUAGCCUCUUGCUUCAAUUCAGAAAUAUGCUGCAGAAACAUACUUUGCAAACCCUGUGGUUUUGCUGCUGGCAGGAGCAGCAACUCCUUUCCAACUCUUGAGAGGAAACAAUGAGAAGGAGAAUGAAAGUGAAAUAAUUUAAAUUGAAAUGUUUUCGUAUUUAUUUUAUGGGCUUGUAAGAGAUGGGUUAGCAGUUAAAAGCUGCUCUUUCAGAGGAUCCGAGUUUCAUUCUAGCACACAUAUUGUUGGGCAGCUCACACUACCUGUAACUCCCGCUCCACAGGAUCCAAUGCCUUCUGCUGACAAAUGUUGUUAGGUGAAAUAGCUGCUCUGAGACAAGUUUGUAUGAGUGUAUGUACACAUGAGUGCAGGUGUCUGAUUAUACCAGAAGAGGGCAUUAGACACUUCAGGACUGGAGUUCCUGGCAUUUUUUGGGAUGUUCGGCUUGUUAUAUGGGUGCUGGGAUGUGAACUCCGGUCCUCAUGAUUUCCCAGCAAGGUCUCUUAACCAGUGAGCCAGCCCAAACAAGGUCUAUUGUAGAUGAAAAUUUGUCCUCACUUUUCUUUUUUGCCUGCCUUCCUUUCAGCAUAAAUACUAUGCUGAGUGACUACUGAAACUAGCCCUAUUCCAGCUACCUUCAGAAGCACUAAAUGGAAGCAGGGUAUCAUAGUUCUCUGUCUUGAGACCUGAAACUCAGGCACAUGCUAGUUAGCUCUCUGUCAUAUAUGGAGGGCCAGCAGGUUUCUGUAGGAGAGUGCUUGCCUCUGUGCAGCUAUGUAUUUUUCCCCAAGGUAGGGUAAGCCAUCAAAUUAGAACUCUUCAAUCUGCUCCUCAGUGCAAGCAUCUUCCCUGGAGUGGAUGCCGACAAGAAGAUGUGAGGGGUUCUAUGUGAAAACACCCUAUUUAUUUGGACCUUUUUCCUUUUUCUGAAGGGUGAUACAUGUAACAGUAUAGUGACCUUAGCAAAAAAAAAAAAAAAAAAAAAAACCCGGCAGUGUAUCAUUUCUCUUUGGAAUGACCUUUGUAUUUUAACCCAAAUUAUUACUAUUUAUUUAAAGAAUCUAGGGAUCUCAGAUUUAAAAACAAUUUGGUUAUUCCUCCCUGCUCCUUUGAGGCAGAGACUCACUCUGCAACUGAGGUUGGCCUACCAAGUGCUAUAUAUCCCAGGCUGGCUUCAACUGCCCCACCCUGCCUCAGUCUUGAAAGUGGUGUGAUUGCAUCCAUGUUCCACCACACCCAGUAAUAUUUGAGUUGCAAAGAGUAACAUUUAAAUGGUGCCUUUGAAAGGCUGCAAUUGUAUACUAGAGCAAAAUCUUAAAAAUCAAAAAAAAAAAAUAGUUCUAGUAGCGUGUUUGUUUAGUCAGAAAAGCAGUGCCCUCGCCUGACAGAGCAGUGAGGGGAACUUCUCUCCUCUUGGAUUCCCCCCUCUAUCAGUGGUACUGCCCCCACCCAAGCCCAGCUUGCCUUACUUGAUGCCCUCCCAGACUCCUUGCUUCACUCACAGAUUGCCCCCUAGUUCCCAGUGCCUGUCACUGAGCUGAGAUGACAGAUUUACCCGAGAUGAUAUGCUGAGGCAAUAUGCAUUUGAGCUCACAAGUCCUGGAACCAGCCCCCGUGACACUGCUGAGCCCUGCGGUGACUUCGAGGGCACGAGCUGAGGGUUUGGCUGCAGAUGGACGCUCUGGGUUGCCUCGUGCUUCUGGAAGCCAGUCCUGGCUUUCCUUUGAAUCUGAGGACUUUACUCAUUUUUAUUCAUUUGUGAAGAAGGGACCAUCCAAAUGUUUUAUGAAACCAACACAGGAGAACAUUAAUGGAUCAAAUUUUGCCUUUGAAGAGGCAGAGGUCAGUGUGCGUUUGGGCAGGAGACACGACAUGCCGGGGACAAGUCUGCGCGUGGGUGAGCUUCGUCCCGUGAGCUUCUUUCUAUUCCAGAGGGCUCUGAAGGAGGGUGGAUUUGUAUUCCUGUCUCUCCCUCCCUCAGGAUGAGGCUGUGUGCUUACUGGAAAAACAGAAACAGUGAGAACUCAGCCAUCUUCGGACGGAAAAAGCCCCUUGUUUCUUUUGUCUUUUUAGUGGAACCAGACCAUGAGGACACAAGGGCCAGAGGGAGGCCCUUCCCAUGCCUCUCCCUGUGCUGUGUUACUGCUCACCUGAGUGUGGAACUACACUCUGACAAGAAAGAAGCACAUUAAGUCUUAAUUUAGCCUGAACUAAGCACAUACGUUGAAGCCAGAUUACUUCUACUAGCUUUGCCAAGACUGUGGCCUCUAGGGCAAGACUUCCCUGUUUUCUUAGAAUUUUGAAAUGCCACCUUCAGCUCAGUAGGGCAGUAUGCUCCUGUGAUACCAGGGAUCGGGAAGCAGAAGAACAAUUGUGAGUUCAAGGCCAGCCCAGGCAACACAGCACCCUAGACUCCAUCUCAUAAAACAACAACAAAACAAAGACAUCUCAAAUCAUAGCAACCCAACAACAAAUGAAAAACCCCUGUUACCACUCAUGCUAUUUACCACUCAGAUCCACUAAAAAAGAUUCUCCAAGACUGGGGGCUUGACCAAGAGUUAAGAACAUUAGCUGCUCUUGCAGAGGACCUAGGUUCAAUUCCCAGCACUUACAAGGUAGCUCACAACCAUCUGUAACUCCAGUCCAGGAGGAUCUGAUGCUUUCUUUUGGCCUCUGUACCCACAUGGUGUGUAGAUAUGCAUGCAGACAAACCACUAUACACAUAAAAUAAAACUAAGGGAAAUAAAUCUGUCUUGUGUACACACACAUGAAGACUACUGUUUCACUCACCACAUAUUCUAUACUUGUUCUAAAGAUAUAAGCAUUUUGUUGUCUUUCCUGAGUCCACUCCUCUCACUGAUAUUUGCUGGCAGCUUUUGGUUGAAUACCUACAUUUUUGGUCAAACACAAAGUCCUGCUCUUGCAGUGUUUAUUUUCUAAUAGGAGAGGGGAGGGUGCUACCAAAUUGACUACCAAGAUCACUGUAGACAGUGAGGGUGCUAUUAGGGAAAUAAGACUGUAACAUGCAGAACAUUGGAGUGCAGGUGGAGAGUCAUUCAAGUCAGACUUGGGCCUACUUCUGAGCAUCCAUACAAAGGAGAUAAAAUCACUGUCUCAAAGAAAGCUUCAGAAACUGGGGAGCCGGCUUCGUUAAGAGCACUGGCUGCUCUUGCAGAGGACCCAGUUCAGAUCCCAGCAGCUAUACUGGCAGGCCUGUAACUCCA
rnacentral:lncRNA from 1 species